rnacentral:rRNA from 1 species
UACGUAGGGUGCGAACGUUGUUCGGAAUCACUGGGCAUAAAGAGCGCGUAGGCGGUCUGAUAAGUCCUGUGUGAAAGCCCCCGGCUUAACCGGGGAAUUGCACAGGAUACUGUCAGGCUAGAGUGCAGGAGGGGAGAGCGGAAUUCCUGGUGGAGCGGUGAAAUGCGUAGAUAUCAGGAGGAACGCCGGUGGCGAAAGCGGCUCUCUGGUCUGCAACUGACGCUGAGGUGCGAAAGCUAGGGGAGCAAACGGG